AUGGCCGGAGGGUCCGUCGCGCGGCUUUAAUAUAGAGGCCGUGAGGAAAGUCCGGGCAACGCAGAGCGCCAUAUGUGCUAACGGCACGCUAUCGGUAACGGUAGAGUAAUGUGACAGAAAAUAACCGCCAGCGUCGUUCCCGUACCGGGAAGCGGCGCAGGUAAGGGUGAAAAGGUGCGGUAAGAGCGCACCGGGCGCGUCGGUAACGGCGCGUGCCGCACAUCUUAUGGGUUGCAAGGUCAAGUAUACCGGCAUUCAAGGGUUGCUCGCCCAUUGCCGGGGGGUAGACUGCUCACGCGCUCCGGAGGCUUCGGCCCUCGGAGUUCAGAUAAAUGACAGACGGCGUCGCGG
rnacentral:RNase_P_RNA from 1 species